CCUGGGGAGUACGGUCGCAAGACUGAAACUCAAAGGAAUUGACGGGGGCCCGCACAAGCGGUGGAGCAUGUGGUUUAAUUCGAAGCGACGCGAAGAACCUUACCAGGUCUUGACAUCCUCCGACAACUGUAGAGAUAGAGCGUUCCCCUUCGGGGGACAGAGUGACAGGUGGUGCAUGGUUGUCGUCAGCUCGUGUCGUGAGAUGUUGGGUUAAGUCCCGCAAGGAGCACCACCCUUGAUCUUAGUUGCCAGCAUUUAGUUGGGCAUUAUAAGGUAACUGCCGGUGACAAACCGGAGGAAGGUGGGGAUGACGUCAAAUCAUCAUGCCCCUUAUGACCUGGGCUACACACGUGCUACAAUGGAUGGUACAAAGGGCUGCCAGACCGCGAGGUCAAGCCAAUCCCAUAAAACCAUUCUCAGUUCGGAUUGUAGGCUGCAACUCGCCUACAUGAAGCUGGAAUCGCUAGUAAUCGCGGAUCAGCAUGCCGCGGUGAAUACGUUCCCGGGCCUUGUACACACCGCCCGUCACACCACGAGAGUUUGUAACACCCGAAGUCGGUGGAGUAACCCUUAAGGAGCGAGCCGCCUGACUCUGGUCGCAGCCG
rnacentral:rRNA from 2 species